CGGGCUGUAGCUCGCAGUGUGCGCGUCUGCGGUGUGGACGCCUCGGACCCGGGACGGCGGGACGGGGGCAGCAGCCGCCGCCUUGGGUAGGGUGGGUGGUGCCCACCCCUGCGCCAGGCCGGAUGCUUGGUGGAGAGAGUGUUGAACCUUGAUCAUCGAAGGGCUUGCAUGUAAUUAUGCUUAUAUGAUUCUCCGGCUGGGGAGCAGCUCACACCGUUUACCCACUGUUUAAGGCCUGCCAAGCGUCUCACAGUGCUGUCUCAUGCACUCAUAGUAAUUAUUAUUCCUACUUUAAAGAUGAAGAAACUGAGGCUCCAAGCUGUGCCGUCACUUGCCUGAGACUUCACUGCCGGUUUCAUUUGGCUUGCUCUUCAGCUGAAAGGACAGCAUCAGUAAAGAUGGAGAGAUUGAAAUCCAAGCAAUGGGGUGUCUGCUGGAUAGAAGCUUCCUAGGAGAGGGCAGAGGAGGAGUCUGGGAGCUGGUGGGAAGGCUGAGGAAGCGUCCUUCCUCUGCAUCAGGAGGAAGAGCCAAGAGACCUGAGAACUGGAGCUGAGAGGUGACAAGCUGAGGGAGCUCAAGCUGCCAGUGCACUGCUCUCUGUGCGUAAACGUGGCCAGGCACCUGCUGCCAGGAGGGAGGCAGGCGUGGGUCCGGGAAUCAGAGCAGAAAUGAGACCGUGUCUAACAGUGACAGUGCAGCGCACAGCGUCAAGUUGCUCAGCUGCUAAAUUUGGGUUCCAUGAAUUUGUGAAUACGCCAAUUCAGCUUUUUAAAAAUUUUUUUUGUGAAGAUUUCGAUAAUUCCUCUUAAGUGUAUCAGAUCAGAUUCUGUUAAAAGUUCUGAAGACUUUUGCUCAGCAUAUAAAAAUAAAUAAUUAUAAAAUUAACUCCACAUCUCCCAUAUGCCCUAAUCCUUAGUGAAAAUAUACGUGCAAACCUGUAACUUAUGUGAUUAAAAAUUCCAUUACUAAUGGGAAAUUAAAUGAACUCAAUAAAACCGUUUUACCUA